AAUCGGACGGCCUGUAAUUGUGA
rnacentral:siRNA from 1 species